rnacentral:misc_RNA from 1 species
AAACUGCGAUAAGUAGUGUGAAUUGCAUUUAGUGAAUCAUCGAAUCUUUGAACGCACAUUGCGCCCGCCAGUAUUCUGGCGGGCAUGCCUGUUCGAGCGUCAUUACAACCCUCAGGCCCCCGGGCCUGGCGUUGGGGAUCGGCGGAAGCCCCCUGCGGGCACAACGCCGUCCCCCAAAUACAGUGGCGGUCCCGCCGCAGCUUCCAUUGCGUAGUAGCUAACACCUCGCAACUGGAGAGCGGCGCGGCCACGCCGUAAAACACCCAACUUCUGAAUGUUGACCUCGAAUCAGGUAGGAAUACCCGCUGAACUUAAGC